UUACGACCAUAUCAAGUUGAAACACCGUUUCGCGUACGAUCAUCGAAGUUAAGCAAUGUCGAUCCUGGUCAGUACCUAGGGUGACCGCUUGGGAAUACCAGGUGCUGUAAG